rnacentral:lncRNA from 1 species
GGUGGUGUCCUGCUGUCUUCUGAGCAAUAGAGACUCCACAUGGCUGCCUGAUGGCCAUUUCCAAAGGCAAUCGUGCUGCUCUCCUGCAUAAAGUCUCUCAGACGAGUCAUCACAGGAGUUGUUGACAUCUGGAAGGCCUGCCUAUAAAUCCUGGAUCCUUCCGUGCUAAGCCAAGAUUCAGAUGAGAACACUGAUUUUGGAAGCUUGGAAUUAGUUUUUUUCACAGCUAGCAGGUAACUCAAUUGGAGUCAACAUCAGCCUCCCAUCCACAGGAUGAUCGUGACAGUACCCAUCUCCCCAGCUGUGAGAUUAAACAAGUGAACACAUGCCAAGCACUCAGAAUGAUGCCUGGCAGAUUUAGCACUUUAUAAAUGACGAUUAUAAGUUCCAAGAGAGAAAAUUUAACAAUGUAUUGGAAUGUCUUAAAACAGUAUUUCCUAGAGACCUGAUAAUGGACCACCCACAGCAGAAUAAUCUGGGUGCUUAUUAAAAAGAAAAAUUUCUGGACCCUGUCCUAAACAUCUUAAUUAAAAACUCAAUAAAUGGAGCCUAGAAAUCUCCAUUUUCAAUAACCACCUUACUGGAUUUUUGAGCACACCAAGUUUUGAGAGAUGUUUUACAACCUACUCAGGUUUAUUUGCAUAAUUUAUAAUAGGACUGUCCAAGGUAAGGUGUAAAUAAUUCAAAUGGUAAGGAUUGUAGAAACGAAGAAAAUGAAAAUUUAAGUUUGUUUCGUAGUCCAUUAUUUGGAUUUUUUAUGACAUUGUUAAAUCAGACACUGAGGCAAUGAGAAAUAUGGCUAAGAUUCCUACUUCUUACUUUAUUAUGGUUAGCAGUUUCAUAUUUAAAUACAUGCGGUAACGGUGGAGCAUGGAGAAAACAUUACUGUAGCCACAGCUUUCCCACAGGCACCAGUAGGCAAGAACUCCCAGACUCCUGAUCACUGUUUCUCCUAACCUGUCACUGGGAAAACUUGGCUAAUAGGAAAGGACCAGGAUAUAGUGUAGCAACUGGCUUGUAAAAAGCAGUAAGGGUGCAAGCAACAAGAUAGAAUUAAGGGGAGGAACAAGCAUAUGCUCAGUAGCCAUCAGCGUCUUACCUAAUCUUAGGUGCAAGGGUACACAAGUAAUAGGUCAUACAUGUCUCCUGCCUCAGCCACUCCCUUCUCUUCACGGUUUCAUCUGUUUCUCUACCUUACAUGCACCACAGCCAAUUGAAAAUAUUAUUUAAUAAAAAAGACUGCAU